AUGAUGAACAUGAGGUUCGGCCAUGAGGCGGCGGCGGCGGCGGAGGGACGCACCCCCGCAUGGCUAGGGCCGCUGCUAGGUGCGGAGUUCUACAAGCCGUGCGCCACUCACCCCUACCAGGUGAAGAACGAGUGCAACCAUUACUGCCUCGACUGUGCGGGAGUGGACGACGCCAUCUGCUGCACCCAGUGCGUCUCCGCCCAUCGCAACCACCACAUCGUCCAAAUUCGAAAGUCGUCAUACCACGAAGUGAUCCAACUGGCAGAGUUGAAGGCGGUGGCGGACGUCUCGCAGGUGCAGACGUACGUCAUCAACUACGACAGGGUGGUGUUCUUGAACCGGCGGCCACAGGCGCCGCAGGACGGCGUCAAGUGCAUCGGCCCCGCCGGCGCAUGCCUGGAGUGCGGCUGGGGACUCGUGGACACCAAUUUCCUCUUCUGCUCACUGAGUUGCAAGCUUGAUGGAAUGGUUUCUGACCCCAAUAUAACUUUCAUUGUUGAUCCAAGACGCAACCGGGAAGACCCGGGCCUAGAAACAGAAGAAGAUGAUGAAGAUGAAGGCGACGAUGGACUACCUGGGUCUAGCAACCGUCCGCCGGGAUGGAUUAGCUACCGCCGCCGACCCCGGAAGGGCAUCCCUGAACGGGCACCCUUCUAUUGA
rnacentral:rRNA from 1 species